UACGGAGGGUGCAAGCGUUACCCGGAUUCACUGGGUUUAAAGGGUGCGUAGGUGGGCAGGUAAGUCAGUGGUGAAAUCUCCGAGCUUAACUCGGAAACUGCCAUUGAUACUAUCUGUCUUGAAUUAUCUGGAGGUGAGCGGAAUAUGUCAUGUAGCGGUGAGAUGCUUAGAUAUGACAUAGAACACCAAUUGCGAAGGCAGCUCACUACGGAUAUAUUGACACUGAGGCACGAAAGCGUGGGGAUCAAACAGG
rnacentral:rRNA from 1 species